GGGCACAGUGGCGUGUGCCUGUGGUCCCAGCCACUCGGUACUCAGGAGGCUGAAGGAUUGCUUGUGACCAGGAAUUCUGGGCUGUAGUGCACUAUGCAAUUGAGUGUCCAUGCUAAGUUCAGCAUCAGUACAGUGACCUCCAGGAAGCAGGGGACCACCAAGUUGCUUAAGAAGGAGUGAACCAGGCCAGGUUAGAAAUGGGGCAGUUAAAACUCCCUUGCUGAUCAGUACUGGGAUCGUCUCUGUCAAUAAUAGCUGGAGUAUGCUCCAGCCUCAGCAACAUAAUGAGACCCUGUCUCCA
ensembl:misc_RNA Metazoa_SRP Metazoan signal recognition particle RNA